CCUACGGGUGGCAGCAGUGGGGAAUAUUGCACAAUGGGCGCAAGCCUGAUGCAGCCAUGCCGCGUGUGUGAAGAAGGCCUUCGGGUUGUAAAGCACUUGCAGCGGGGAGGAAGGCGGUGAGGUUAAUAACCUCAUCGAUUGACGUUACCCGCAGAAGAAGCACCGGCUAACUCCGUGCCAGCAGCCGCGGUAAUACGGAGGGUGCAAGCGUUAAUCGGAAUUACUGGGCGUAAAGCGCACGCAGGCGGUCUGUCAAGUCGGAUGUGAAAUCCCCGGGCUCAACCUGGGAACUGCAUUCGAAACUGGCAGGCUAGAGUCUUGUAGAGGGGGGUAGAAUUCCAGGUGUAGCGGUGAAAUGCGUAGAGAUCUGGAGGAAUACCGGUGGCGAAGGCGGCCCCCGGGACAAAGACUGACGCUCAGGUGCGAAAGCGUGGGGAGCAAACAGGAUUAGAUACCCCGGUAGUC
rnacentral:rRNA from 1 species